rnacentral:rRNA from 1 species
AACACGUGAGUAACCUGCCCUUGACUCUGGGAUAAGCCUGGGAAACUGGGUCUAAUACCGGAUACGACCGCUCACCGCAUGGUGUGGUGGUGGAAAGCUUUUGCGGUUUUGGAUGGACUCGCGGCCUAUCAGCUUGUUGGUGGGGUAAUGGCCUACCAAGGCGACGACGGGUAGCCGGCCUGAGAGGGUGACCGGCCACACUGGGACUGAGACACGGCCCAGACUCCUACGGGAGGCAGCAGUGGGGAAUAUUGCACAAUGGGCGCAAGCCUGAUGCAGCGACGCCGCGUGAGGGAUGACGGCCUUCGGGUUGUAAACCUCUUUCAGUAGGGAAGAAGCGCAAGUGACGGUACCUGCAGAAGAAGCGCCGGCUAACUACGUGCCAGCAGCCGCGGUAAUACGUAGGGCGCAAGCGUUAUCCGGAAUUAUUGGGCGUAAAGAGCUCGUAGGCGGUUUGUCGCGUCUGCUGUGAAAGACCGGGGCUCAACUCCGGUUCUGCAGUGGGUACGGGCAGACUAGAGUGAUGUAGGGGAGACUGGAAUUCCUGGUGUAGCGGUGAAAUGCGCAGAUAUCAGGAGG